rnacentral:rRNA from 1 species
UAGGGAAUCUUCCACAAUGGACGAAAGUCUGAUGGAGCAACGCCGCGUGAGUGAAGAAGGUUUUCGGAUCGUAAAGCUCUGUUGUUGGUGAAGAAGGAUAGAGGCAGUAACUGGUCUUUAUUUGACGGUAAUCAACCAGAAAGUCACGGCUAACUACGUG